GAUGAACGCUGGCGGUCUGCUUAACACAUGCAAGUCGAACGGAAUCCUUCGGGAUUUAGUGGCGGACGGGUGAGUAACGCGUGAGAAUCUGCCUUCAGGUUCGGGACAACAGCUGGAAACGGCUGCUAAUACCGGAUGUGCCGAGAGGUGAAAGCUUCAGUGCCUGAAGAUGAGCUCGCGUCUGAUUAGCUAGUAGGGGUGGUAAUGGCACCCCUAGGCGACGAUCAGUAGCUGGUCUGAGAGGAUGAUCAGCCACACUGGGACUGAGACACGGCCCAGACUCCUACGGGAGGCAGCAGUGGGGAAUUUUCCGCAAUGGGCGCAAGCCUGACGGAGCAAGACCGCGUGAGGGAAGAAGGUCUGUGGAUUGUAAACCUCUUUUGAUGGGGAAGAAGACAGUGACGGUACCCAUCGAAUCAGCCUCGGCUAACUCCGUGCCAGCAGCCGCCGUAA
rnacentral:rRNA from 1 species